GAUCAAGUUACUACAAGCUCAUGGUGGAUGCCUUGGCGCAAAGGGCCGAUGAAGGGCGUGGUAAGACUGCGAAAAGCCUCGGAUAGCUGUCUAGCAAGCAUAACCGGGGAUUCCCGAAUGGGGAAACCUAUCCCGAUGAACUCGGGAUAGCUCUAACCUAACCCUUAAGUUAGAGCGGGUAAGCGAGGGAACUGAAACAUCUAAGUACCUCGAGGAAUAGAAAUCAACCGAGAUUCCCUAAGUAGUGGCGAACGAACGGGGAAGAGCCCAAACCUUAUAGGCUUAGUGGACUGAGGUCCUAUGUCUAUAGGGUGUUUUAAGGCGUGUCUGGGAGAGCCUCAGCAAUCCCGAGGAGUAAGAAACCGUUUCUCUAGUCGAAGGUCCCUGGAAAGGGUAACCGUAGAAGGUGAAAGUCCUGUAGGCGAAAGAGAAAUGGCUCCUGAUGCGACCUUGAGUACCGCGGGACACGUGGAAUCCCGUGGGAAUAUGGGGGGACCACCCUCCAAGGCUAAAUACCCUUUGCGACCGAUAGUGAACCAGUACCGUGAGGGAAAGGUGAAAAGAACCCCGGGAGGGGAGUGAAAUAGACCUGAAACCAUGAGCUUACAUACGGUCGGAGCCUCGACAUGAUCGGGGUGACGGCGUGCCUAUUGAAGAAUGAGCCGACGAGUUAAUCUUCGCGGCAAGGUUAAGUUCCUUAAGGAACGGAGCCGUAGCGAAAGCGAGUCUGAAUAGGGCGAUACAGUCGCGGGGAUUAGACCCGAAACCGGGUGAGCUACCCAUGGCCAGGGUGAAGCUAGGAUAAUAUCCUGGUGAAGGCCCGAACCCAUGGACGUUGCAAAGUCUUGGGAUGAGUUGUGGGUAGAGGUGAAAUGCCAAACGAACUCGGAGAUAGCUGGUUCUCCCCGAAAUGCAUUGAGGUGCAGCCUUGGGGGUGAAUGAUGGAGGUAGGGCUCUGGAUGGGCUAGGGGGCGCGAGCUUACCAAACCCAACCAAACCACCAAUGCCAUUAUAUCUAAACCUCAGGAGUGAGACUGUGGGGGAUAAGCUCCAUAGUCGAAAGGGAAACAGCCCAGAUCACCGGCUAAGGCCCCUAAGUGUGGACUAAGUGGUAAAGGAAGUUGAAUCGCUCAGACAGCCAGGAGGUUGGCUUAGAAGCAGCCACCCUUUAAAGAGUGCGUAAUAGCUCACUGGUCGAGGGAUUCUGCGCCGAAAAUUUAACGGGGCUAAAGUCCACCGCCGAAGCCGUGGCUGCAGUUCUUAUGAACUGCGGGGUAGGGGAGCGUUCCUCGGGCGCUGAAGGUAUACCGUGAGGUGUGCUGGAGCGCGGGGAAGUGAGAAUGUCGGCAUGAGUAGCGUCAAUCCAUGUGAGAAUCAUGGACACCGAAAGCCUAAGGUUUCCUACGCAACGUUGUUCGGCGUAGGGUUAGUCGGGCCUAAGCGUAAGCCGAAAGGCCCAUGCGAUGGACAACAGGUCAAUAUUCCUGUACCACCUUUAUGCGUUUUAUGCAAAGGGGGGACGCGGAAAGGUAGGCGGAGCAUGCCCAUUGGACAUGGUGUGUCUUCCUUUGAAGGCCAUGCCGGGAUAGGAAAAUCCGUUCCGGCGUUACGAGCUGAGGGAGGAGGGAACUGCUAGGUUUACCUAGCGGAAUUCCGUUGAACCUAUACCGCCAAGAAAAUCCUCGUUGUGAGUAUAAGGGUGACCGUACCGCAAACCGACACUGGUAGGCAGGGGUGAGAGCCCCAAGGUGUUCGAGAGAACCUUCGUUAAGGAACUCGGCAAUCUAACCCCGUAACUUAGGGAAAAGGGGUGCCCUGAGGGUGUAGGGACUUGCUCCCAAAGCCUUUUGGGGCCGCAGCUAAAGGGGCCAAGCGACUGUUUAACAAAAACACAGGUCUCUGCUAAAUCGUAAGAUGAUGUAUAGGGGCUGACGCCUGCCCAGUGCCGGAAGGUUAAGGGGAAGGGUGAAUCUCAGUUUCGACUGAGAGGCAGCUCUGAACUGAAGCCCCGGUGAACGGCGGCCGUAACUAUAACGGUCCUAAGGUACCGAAAUCCCUUGUCGGGUAAAUUCCGACCCGCAGGAAAGGCGUAACGACUUGGUCGCUGUCUCAACGAAGGACUCGGCGAAAUUGCAAGGCCCGUGAAGAUGCGGGUAUCCCGCGACAGGACAAAAAGACCCCGUGGAGCUUUACUGCAACUUGACAUUGGACCGGGGGCUGGGAUGUGUAGGAUAGGUGGGAGGCUAUGAAGUUUCGACGCCAGUCGAGAUGGAGCCAACGUUGAAAUACCACUCUUCUCUGUCUUUGGCUCUAACCCUGGAUAGGCCAGGGGACCGUGUCAGGCGGGCAGUUUGACUGGGGCGGUCGCCUCCUAAAAGGUAACGGAGGCGCCCAAAGG
rnacentral:rRNA from 1 species